rnacentral:rRNA from 1 species
UACGUAGGGACCGAGCGUUGUCCGGAAUCAUUGGGCGUAAAGGGCGCGUAGGUGGCUUCUUAAGCGUGCGGUGAAAGCCUGGGGCUCAACCCCGGGUCGGCCGUGCGAACUGGGGGGCUGGAGCACUGUAGAGGCAGGCGGAAUUCCGGGUGUAGCGGUGGAAUGCGUAGAGAUCCGGAAGAACACCGGUGGCGAAGGCGGCCUGCUGGGCAGUUGCUGACACUGAGGCGCGACAGCGUGGGGAGCAAACAGG